rnacentral:tRNA from 1 species
GCGGGCGUAGUUCAGUGGUAGAACACUAGCCUUCCAAGCUGGAUACGUGAGUUCGAUUCUCAUCGCCCGCUCCA